rnacentral:rRNA from 1 species
CACACGACUCUCGGCAACGGAUAUCUUGGCUCUUGCAUCGAUGAAGAACGUAGCAAAAUGCGAUACCUGGUGUGAAUUGCAGAAUCCCAUGAACCAUCGAGUUUUUGAACGCAAGUUGCGCCCGAGGCCUUCUGGCCGAGGGCACGUCUGCCUGGGCGUCACG